rnacentral:misc_RNA from 1 species
AACUUAUAGCAAUGGAUCUCUUGGUUCUCGCAUCGAUGAAGAACGCAGCGAAAUGCGAUAAGUAAUGUGAAUUGCAGAAUUCAGUGAAUCAUCGAAUCUUUGAACGCAACUUGCGCUCCUUGGUACUCUGAGGAGCAUGCCUGUUUGAGUGUCAUUAAACUUCUUCUCAACCCAUCCAGUUUCUCUGUGUGUGGGCUUUGGAAAAUUGGGGGCUUGCUGGUUACUAUUUGUCCAGCUCUCCUGAAAAGCAUUAGCGGCAUCUGGGCUGCUUGCAGGUGUGAUAACUUGUCUACACCUUUGCAGUGGCUGCAUUUGUGCUGCUUUAGAGGGCAUUGAUGAAAUUUGACCUCAAAUCAGGUAGGACUACCCGCUGAACUUAAGCAUAUCAAUAAGCGGAGGCU